GGUAUGGCGCAGUCAGGUAGCGCGCUUGGCUUGGAUCCAAGAUGUCGUAGGUUCAAAUCCUACUACC
rnacentral:tRNA from 1 species